rnacentral:rRNA from 1 species
CACGGGGGGAGCAAGCGUUGUUCGGAAUCACUGGGCGUAAAGCGUGCGUAGACGGUUGCGUAAGUCAGAUGUGAAAGCCCCGGGCUCAACCUGGGAAUUGCAUUUGAGGCUGCGUAGCUAGGGUGCGGAAGAGGGAAGCGGAAUUUCCGGUGUAGCGGUGAAAUGCGUAGAUAUCGGAAGGAACACCAGUGGCGAAAGCGGCUUCCUGGUCCAGCACCGACGUUCAGGCACGAAAGCGUGGGGAGCAAACAGG